UGCCUAAAUCAAAGGAACUUGUUUCUUCAAGCUCCUCAGGCAGUGAUUCUGACAGCGAAGGUGAAAAAAAAGUUAAAGAGGAAAAAGCAAGUGGUUCCAGAGAAACCUGUGAAGAAGCAAAAGCCUGAUGAGCCUUCUAGAGCUCCAGCAUUCUCCAGGCUGAGCAGCAGCAGCUGAGAUGAUAGCAUGCUCCAGAUUGGAAGGAUGAGAUAUGGAAGUGUUCAGGACUUUAGAGGAAAAAUUCAAAUUGAUAUUAGAGAGUAUUGGAUGGACUCAGAAGAUGAAAUGAAACCAGGGAGAAAAGGUAUUUCUUUAAAUAUGGAACAAUGGAGUCAGCUGAAGGACCAGAUCUCUGACGUAGAUGAUGCAGUAAGAAAACUGUA
rnacentral:lncRNA from 1 species